rnacentral:lncRNA from 1 species
AUUUGGGGUGUGGCUUGGAUUGAGUUGUUCUUUUCAACAUGCCACGCUGGAUGUGGUGGUACACACCUGUAACCCCAUCAGGAACCUGCAGCAGAAGGAUGGAGAGUUUGAGACCAGCCUAUGCCACAUAGCAAGACUGUGUCAAAAAGCCCCCCAAAAAAUCCUGAGAGCUAAGGUAACUUAAAGCAUUCACUGUCCAAAAAAAAAGAAAAAGCAUUCACUGUCAAGAGAAAAUUUGUUAAGUUAUAGCAAGAGAUCCCUUUUUGACAUUCUCUUUGAUGUAUAGAAAAAAUAGGGAGAUAAAAGCUGUGGUAUUGAUGUGACUAAAUAUUGAAAUAUUACAUAUUGCCUUAUGGCCAACUACACCAUGAUCGUUUCUGAGAAACUACCUCAUGAACUGGUUGUCCUCAACAUGGAUUUAGAGUAACCCCCAGAUUUUUAUCUCUUAUAUCCCUGAAUCAUGGAGUUGAGGAACUUUUUUGUUAGGGCAGUAAUUUGGUUAGUGUACUCUUCUUUUUUUUUUUUUUUGCUACCAGGAAUUGAACUCAAGACAUUGCACUUGUGAGGCAGGUGGGGUGCCACUAAGCCAAAUCCUUGGACCUGGUUAGCAUACUCUUUAUUUCCAACAUUGACUUGAAGAGAAUGUCUAUUUGUAAUGUAAUUAUUUUACAGAACUAAGAGAUUUCAAAGUAUUAACCUAUUGUGUCUUUUCAUCAUCUUAGUCUUAAUUCUUACAAUUCUUGGAGUUACCAGAACUUGGGAGAAGAGCUACUGAAUUGCAAAAUCCUAGAAGUUACUAUUUAUAUAUCUUUAGGUAAAAGAUGCCCUUGGAGUUCUACAGUGUACUUACUGCCUGUGUGGCUAUACAUGGUGGCCUUUGUUGGAGGGAAAGAAGAUAUGAAAGAAAAGUCAUUCUGUAUAUUUGAACUAGGAGGGGAAAAGUCCAAUCUAAUGGUCCUGUUUAGAGAAUCCAGGACAUUGAGGCAACCAUGACACACAACUAAACACAUGAAAGAGGACUUCCAGAAGUGCCUAAGAAAGUGGGAAGAAUAAUGGGAUAAAUGGAUUCAAAGUGAGAAGAAAUAUUUGGGGGUGGGGUUAAUAGCAAAGUGUCUCUUACUGUGAUAAUUUAAAACAAAAAUGUAAACAUUAAUUGUAUACUCUGAUCAUACCACAUAUGUCUAGUACAAGGACCAUGGCAUAUAGAGGCUUAAAAUUUCUUGAAAACUAUAAUGGGAAAAGAGCUUUCUGAGUUUCUGCUCUGAUUCCUUACUUUGUGUCUCUUAUGAACUUCCUUUCUAUUACAGAACAGGGUCCUUAAAGAACACAGUGAUGCAAGUUCAACCUGGGUGCCAAAACAAAAACAACAAAAAGAAUACAAUGAUGGAGGGUUGGGAAUUUAGCUCAGUGGUGCUGUGCCUGCCUGGCAAGUACUAGGGCCCAAGUUCAAUCCCUGAUACCAAAAACAAACAAGAAUACAAUGAUGGGUG